CAGCGACGGCCGUCAGGGCAAACUCAAACUGGUCCUGGAGCCAAGAAGACAGACAAGUUUCCUUCACAUCAAGUCUACAAUGCAACCUGUAAAAUCAGUAAACUCUGAAAGUUAACAACUCAAGUCAAGAUUAAAAAACGUCUGAUCCCGGAGCAUUUUAAAGUCGGACAUGGAAAUGGAAACUUGAAAACCUCCUCAGAAGCUCUAGCUGAGAGUCAAAGGAAGGAUCAGCUGUGGCGUUUAAACAUAAUCACUCCAGGCUUCAUUGAGGAGAGAAUGAAACGAUGCAGGUAGCAGCAGUACCUGCGGAAGUCCAGCAGGGGGCGUGUGGAGGUGGGGAUGCCCUGAGCCGGCCAGCUGAGGAAGUGGAACUGAGUGAGAGUCCUGGUCUCCUGCGUCUGCACGUUCUUCAGGUAGAAGCUUCGC